CAGCAGCCGCGGGAAUACGGAGGAUGCAAGCGUUAUCCGGAAUGAUUGGGCGUAAAGCGUCUGUAGGUGGCUUUCCAAGUCCGCCGUCAAAUCCCCGGGCUCAACCCUGGACAGGCAGUGGAAACUACCAAGCUGGAGUACGGUAGGGGCAGAGGGAACUUCCGGUGGAGCGGUGAAAUGCGUUGAGAUCGGAAGGAACGCCCGUGGCGAAAGCGAGGCCCUGGACCCUUACUGACGCUGAGACGCGAAAGCCAGGGGAGCGAACGGGAUUAGAUACCCGCGUAGUCCCUGUCUCUUAUAA
rnacentral:rRNA from 1 species